CAAGCAGACUUUUCAAAUCCCCAAUUCCCAAAUACCUUAAUUUCCCAAAGUCCUUUCCAAUCCCCCAAGUACAUACAAUCACCGUAAAACCGUUAUCUCAUAAUUUUAGUCAUAUAAUCGAUAAUAAGCAAAGAUUACUAAAAUUAUUGGGUGCCUUUUCAAUACAGAUACGUCGUCUAACUGUAAGCUGCCGCAAUGCAAACAAGAAUAUAUAAUCACUGUUUUACUAUUACUUUAAGCAGUCAAGAAGCAGUUAGAGGUAUCUUAAAUCGCAUCUAGGGAGUUGACUUCUGUUCUCGUGGGGAAACCGGAAAUGCCUAGAGGCUGCGAAUCGAGCAGGUAGGACAGGAAGCAUCCUAAUCACCGGACGAACGAACUUUUCACUGAUUAAUGCUAUAAUCGUGCUAAUUAGCUCUGCGUCUAGUAAGAAAGCUCAACUAUAAAUAUAUGGGGAACCACAGCAGCAGAGAUCAACUAUACAACGAUCGUCUACACAAGAUUUUCCGAAAAGCGCGAACCGGAAAAUGGCUCGUAACCGCGAGUAACUUGGAGGUCGUGGAAGAGGAAGACGAAGAGAACGAAGAGGAACAGAAGAUCGGUGGUUAAGCCGCUUUUUGCUAAGUGGAUGAGAAGCCAGGAGAACCGACCCGGUGAACCGAGGUCCCCGAGAACAGAACGGUACCCUGUGCCCUCUUCCUCCUCCUCCUCUUCCUUCUUAUCCCUCCUCCUCACAGAGUUCCUUCUUCUCCCGUCAUGCAGGCUACCGAGGACGAGGAGUCCGGUAGUGCCUUCAGGCUCUUUUCCGUAAAUUCCUGCUUACGUGUUUUUGACGUACUAUACCAUACAUGCGUGCCACUUGCAUCGGUUACGUCUGCAUCUACCGUUCCUUUCGAGAAUUCGAACAUAACCGAGUCUCCAUUACCUUUACGAUGGGCUACCUAACCUUACUUGGUUACAUCUUUUAUUUUCUAAUUUGCUUCUGGGCUGAAAAUACUUGGGACUUGUGGUGAUUAAACGUAACUUGGAUAAAUAGCUUAUUUAUCAAAUUUAAAAAUUUAAAAUAGUAA
rnacentral:lncRNA from 1 species